rnacentral:rRNA from 1 species
AUGUCCUCCCCGUCACGAUCCUUCUUCGUCUGCCGGCGGGCGCGCCGCCCAGCCGGGGCUUCCUUCUCGCCUCCGGAGCCUCGAGAGCCGCUCCGUCUCUCCUCCAGGCGCACCUUCCCGGCCGUGGACACACGCUUCCGUCCGUCGAUAGUUUACCAUGGCGCGCGCUUGUCGUCGGCCGGCCAAGAAUCUACAUGGCAGGUCGCUCUCGUCUCCAUGGUGCCCGGCCGGCGCUCGCGGCGGCCCCUCUCGUCGUCGGCCGAGGGCGACUCUGGCCGACUGCCACAAGUGCAUGGCUGGCAUGGUUUACUAUCAUCCAGCGCCGUCUAG